UACGUAGGGAGCAAGCGUUGUCCGGAAUCAUCGGGCGUAAAGCGCGCGUAGGUGGCCUCAUAAGUCCGCUGUGAAAGUCAAAGGCUCAACCUUUGAAAGCCGGUGGAUACUGUGAGGCUAGAGUACGGAAGAGGCGAGUGGAAUUCCUGGUGUAGCGGUGGAAUGCGCAGAUAUCAGGAGGAACACCAAUAGCGAAGGCAGCGCGCUGGGACGUUACUGACACUGAGGCGCGAAAGCGUGGGGAGCGAACAGG
rnacentral:rRNA from 1 species